rnacentral:rRNA from 1 species
AGAGUUUGAUCCUGGCUCAGGACGAACGCUGGCGGCGUGCCUAAUACAUGCAAGUAGAACGCUGAAAUAAGAGCUUGCUCUCAUGGAUGAGUUGCGAACGGGUGAGUAACACGUGGGGAACCUACCUUCUAGCGGGGGAUAACACAUAGAAAUGUGUGCUAAUACCGCAUAAUAGUAUUUGAUGCAUAUCAGAUACUUGAAAGGCGCAAUUGCGUCACUAGAAGAUGGCCCCGCGGUGCAUUAGCUAGUUGGUGAGGUAACGGCUCACCAAGGCAAUGAUGCAUAGCCGACCUGAGAGGGUGAUCGGCCACACUGGGACUGAGACACGGCCCAGACUCCUACGGGAGGCAGCAGUAGGGAAUCUUCGGCAAUGGACGCAAGUCUGACCGAGCAACGCCGCGUGAGUGAAGAAGGUUUUCGGAUCGUAAAACUCUGUUGUAAGAGAAGAACGUUGAUGAGAGUGGAAAGUUCAUCAAGUGACGGUAUCUUACCAGAAAGCCACGGCUAACUACGUGCCAGCAGCCGCGGUAAUACGUAGGUGGCAAGCGUUGUCCGGAUUUAUUGGGCGUAAAGCGAGCGCAGGCGGUUGAUUAAGUCUGAUGUGAAAGCCCCCGGCUCAACCGGGGAGGGUCAUUGGAAACUGGUCAACUUGAGUGCAGAAGAGGAGAGUGGAAUUCCAUGUGUAGCGGUGAAAUGCGUAGAUAUAUGGAGGAACACCAGUGGCGAAGGCGGCUCUCUGGUCUGUAACUGACGCUGAGGCUCGAAAGCGUGGGGAGCGAACAGGAUUAGAUACCCUGGUAGUCCACGCCGUAAACGGUGAGUGCUAAGUGUUGGAGGGUUUCCGCCCUUCAGUGCUGCAGCUAACGCAUUAAGCACUCCGCCUGGGGAGUACGACCGCAAGGUUGAAACUCAAAGGAAUUGACGG